UAAGUGAACUUUAAAAAAUUUAAUUUUUAGCAUAAAAUAUUUUGUCUCAUAGGCCCAUUUCGCCCGGGCCCGUUAGAGUCUAAAAAACCUAAAACUAGAAACAAAAAAUAAUAAUAAACCGAAAUAAAAAAACCAUAAAAAUCCAUUAAGUCCAAAACAGUCCUUAAACCCUUAGCCCAUUACAUUAGACCCAGUCCUGGCCCAAUUAUUAAACCUAAGGCUAACCUUAGCCCAAACCCUAGUUUGCUGAUUAGCGCCGCAGCAAUGGUCUUCGCCCCUAGCCGUCCGUUUUCAAAGCAGGUCUAUAGAGCCCAAACAUUGAAGAUUCUGGAAUACGCUACAGCAGCGCCAAAGGGUCGGACUUGCACGAGCAGUUUCCCAGGCAUGGCUUCCACGUCACCAAGUCUCCUUUUCCAUACAGCCACACCUGCAACAGAAUACACGAGAAGCAGCUAACAGAAUACAUAGCCAAAUGACAGAAGGAAAAUAUAAUUUUUAUUUUUUUAUUUAUUUUGUAAACUCGGCUAUAAAAAGCCAUCAUUUGUAUUCUGUAAAGCUUACGCACACUGAAAUACGCAUACUGAAUAGAAAAAUUCAAAAGCAAUUUCUGAGAAGGUGAUCUCUGUUUUUUAGUCUCUUUAAUUUUCUGUUAAUUAUUUUAUUUAUUUCCUUCGAUUUUUUUUUCAUCAUUUGCAUUUAAAAAACAAAAGUGAGAGGAGAAAGGUGAUCGUACCUUGUGAUUAGGCCGUCAGUUCUCUUUCGCUUCGUCGAAAUCAAAGCUUAAAGGGAAUUUCGAGGCUAAAAAACAAUUCUUCGAAGCCCGAGAACGCUGGUCGCCGUUCGUGGUGGCAGAUCAGUGUUUGAAGGAGAGAACGUAGGGUUGCUGGUUGGGAAGAAAAGGAGGCUAGGGUUGGUUCGGC
rnacentral:lncRNA from 1 species